rnacentral:rRNA from 1 species
AGGACGAACGCUGGCGGCGUGCUUAACACAUGCAAGUCGAGCGGAAAGGCCCUUCGGGGUACUCGAGCGGCGAACGGGUGAGUAACACGUGAGUAACCUGCCCUGGACUUUGGGAUAACCCUCGGAAACGGGGGCUAAUACCGGAUACGACACUCUCCUGCAUGGGAUGGGUGUGGAAAGUUUUUCGGCUGGGAUGGGCUCGCGGCCUAUCAGCUUGUUGGUGGGUGAUGGCCUACCAAGGCGACGACGGUAGCCGGCCUGAGAGGGCGACCGGCCACGACUGGGACUGAGACACGGCCCAGACUCCUACGGGAGCAGCCAGUGGGGAAUAUUGCACAAUGGGCGAAGCCUGAUGCAGCGACGCCGCGUGAGGGAUGGACGGCCUUCGGUGUAAACCUCUUUCAGCAGGGGCGAAGCGAGAGUGACGGUACCUGCCGAGAAGAAGUCGACCGG